AGAGGAGGUGUUUCAGGAGGAUGCUGCGGUGGUUGACCAAAACUAUCAAUACUGUUUGGUGGGGAGAUGUCUCACUGAUAAUGUUGUCUAUUUCCCUUCUUUGCGUAAUACAAUGACUGAUUUGUGGCACCCAAUUGCAGGAAUAUGUAUCACGGAUCUGGGAGACAAAAGGUACCUUUUCCAAUUAUUCCAUGAGGUUGAUAUACAAAAGGUACUGUCCGUAACACCUUGGUUUUUUAAUAACCAUCUGCUUAUUCUGCAAACAAUCCAAAAAUGAGAGAACCCAUCAGCUAUCUUAUUAAAUUUUACUAAAUUUUAGGUCCAAGUUCAUGAUUUGCCACUAGGUCUGAUGUUUGAAUCUAUGGCAAAACAAUUUGGUAAUUUUUUGGGGAAAUUUUUAGAGUAUGAUACUGCUAUUCCGACUUUGGGCAUUAUGAGAUUCAUGCGUAUUCGAGUUCGAUUAGAUGUCUCUAAUCCCUUUAAACGAAAGAAAAAGAUUCGGUUGGGAAUGAGUUAACCAUUUAUUCUAAGUUCCAAUAUGAGAAAUUGAGUCUCUUUUGUUUUAUUUAUGGUAAAUUGAGACAUGGCGAGAGUUUUUGUCCUUUUAGAUUAGGGAUUGAACCAGCCAAGAUUGUUUUUGGGUGGGAUGUAUCUUUACGCGCAGUGUCACGGUGAUGGAGUGCGGUGUCGAGUAGGUGGCUUCGACAGGUUGAUAGCUCACAAUGGAGUAGUGAAAGUAUGGAAAGUAGUGAAAGUAUGGAAAGAAGUUAUCGGAACAAUAAAUUGGGGCAUGAUUCUGGAAGCAAAUUUAGGGGGGAUCCAAGGAAUCAAUCCGCAAAUCCUAAUUUAUUCCCGUUGGAAUCCAAUCACUAGAUUUUUCACAAAAAAUCUGAUAAUUGGCACAAUUUGGGCAGUGGGGUUUUAAAUGGCAAUGUUUCUGGAAAUGGGCCCAUGGAUUUGGUUCUAGAAGAGGAAAAUGAUUCGUUAUUUAAUUUAGAAGGUAAAAAAAGGCAACAAAAAGUGGAAAGUUCAUUAAGUCGUCUAGCGAAUAUUGUGGAAACAGAUCAAUUUGAUUUAACAUCUAGCUCUGGGGAGCAGAGUAGCCGAAUGCAAUGAAAGUCCUUAGCUGGAAUGUUCGUGGCUUAGGGAGGUCACAAACUGUCAAGAGGCUCAAGAAUAAAUUGAGAGCCAUUAAUCCCCGAAAUUUGUUUCUAAUGGAAACAAAAUUGAGUGCGAAGAAGAUGGAAUUAGUGAGAAUGCAAUGUGGGUUUGAAAACGGUAUUGAUGUUAAAUGCUUUGAUUCAACUUAAGAGUUUUAGCUCUUUUCACAUUGAUGUCGAGAUCUAUGACCAUGAAUGUGAUGCUGUGUGGCGAUUAACGGGAUUUUAUAGGAACCCGGAAGAGAAGAAUAGAGGUGAAUCAUGGGAUUUACUUAGAAGGUUAGGGCAAGAACAAAUGAUACCUUAGGUUCUUGUAGGUGAUUUUAACGAAAUUGCGAACUCGUUUGAAAAGAAGAGUGGUCAGCUAAGAGCUGAUCGUCAGAUGUCUGAUUUUAGAAGGGCCUUGGAUGACUGCGGGCUUAACAAUCUUGGGUUUAUUGGUAGAUGGUUUACUUGGGAACGAGGAAGGUUUUUGUCAACAAACAUAAGGGAGAGAUUAGAUUAGGGGGUUGCAACUUUGAAUUGGGUCAUCCUUUGCCCUAGCUGUCAACUAGAACAUUUGACUCAUUCCUUUUCGGAUCACUACCCUAUCCUUUUGGAUACAUUUGGGAAACUAAGGAUGUCGUGUAUUAAUGAAAAACCGUUCAGGUUUGAGGCCAAAUGGUGUUUAGAAGACUCUUUUGAAGAGGUGAUUAGAAGAAAUUGGAAUGAUAUUUCCAGAAGUGUCCCUAAAAAGCUUGGAAGAUUAAGUCAGCAGCUUCAAAGGUGGAGUGGAUCCAAAGAAAGGGAUAAAGAAAAAUCAGGCAUUACUUGAAGAAAGACUAAACUGCCUUUAUGAGCUAGAUCCAACUGAUGAGAUUUUGGGUGAAAUCACAGAUAUUCAGUGAGCCUGAAUUUAGAGGCUGAUCAAGAAGAAAUCUUUUGGGAACAACGUGCCUAUGUUAAUUGGUUGCAAAAUGGUAAUAAGAAUACCAAUUUUUUCCAUAAAGUUGUUGUUCAAUGUCAAAUCAGGGGUCAAAUCAAAGAGUUAAAAGGGGAAAAUAAGGAAAGAUUUUCCACGACUGAGGAGAUACUCAAGAUUGCCUCGGACUACUUUGGGAAGCUAUUUUCGGAUUUAGAUUCGGGUUCAGAUGAGCGGGUUUAUGGUUUAGUGGAGAAAAGAGUUAAUGAUAAUAUGAAUGCCUUUGUACUUCAAAAAUUCACAGAGGAGGAGAUUUCCUGCACGGUUAAAUCUAUGGUGCCGUUGAAAGCUCCUAGGACUGAUGGAUUUUUGGCUAUCUUUUUUCAAAGGUAUUGGCAUAUUUUUGGAUCUGAUAUUUUUAGAUACUGUUUAUCUAAUAUUGAAUGGUGUUUCUAAAAUAGGUGAUAUUAAUAAAACACGAAUUUUUUGAUCCCAAAAAUAGACAAAUCAAAAAAUCUAUCACAUUUUAGGCCCAUAAGUCUUGGUAAUGUUAUUUACAAAAUUUUCGCGAAGGUCUUGGUGAAUUGUAUGAGCUUUAUGUUGGGAAGUUGCAUAAAUGAAGCCCAAGGGGCUUUUAUCCCAGGAAGACUUAUUUCAGACAAUGUAUUAAUUGCUUAUGAGGUCUUUCAUUCUAUGAAAAUGAAGAAGAAAGGCAAGAAGGGGAAUUUUGUACUUAAACUCGACAUGAGUAAAGCAUAUGAUCGUGUUGAAUGAGAUUUUUUGGCAAGGAUGAUGACCCAUUUGAGAUUUCAUGCGGACUUGAUAACUCUUAUUAUGAGGUGUGUUUGCUCGAUUUCCUAUUCGGUGAGUCUUAAUGGGUUGAAUAGCGACUUGUUUUCACCAUCUAGAGGUUUAAGGUAGGGUGAUCCACUUAGCCCUUACCUUUUUCUUCUUUGUGUAGAAGGUUUUUCUACGAUAAUUGAAGAUGCCAAGCGAAAGGGUACGAUGAGGGGGCUACUGUUGGAAGGGAAAGAUUCUCUAUUAAUCACUUAUUCUUUGCAGAUGAUUGUGUUCUUUUCGGAGAUGCUUUUAAAAAAGGAGCAAAGGUAGUCCACGAGAUUAUCAAGGAGUAUGAGGAGGUAUUAGGUUAGAGGGUGAACUUUGAAAAAUCACUAAUCUAUUUUGGGGCCAAUGUUAAUGCAAAUGUCAAUGACACUAUAACCAGUACUUUAGGAGUGAGGGUUGCGUCAAAUCCUGAGAAGUAUUUAGGUUUACCUAUGAUGGUCGGUCGAAAGAAGAAUUGGUCUUUCGUAAACUUUAUUGACCGGUUUUGGAAACAUAUCACAGGAUGGAGUUUGCGCUACUUAUCUAUGAGGGGAAAGGAAAUUUUUGUUAAAGCGGUCUUACAGUCUAUUCCGGUUUACGUUAUGCAAUGUUUUGCUUUGCCAAAACUGUUAAAUAUGACUCAUAUUUUCAGUCAAAUUUGAAAAAUAGUCUUUCAGUUAAACUCUGUUUACUUGUUUCAAUCAAACACUAAUUAGUUUAGAUUAUUUUAUUAUUAAUUGAUCUAUGAAUUUAGCCUAUAAAUAGGCUCUUUUACAACCUUAGAAAAAACACCCAUUAGAGAUUAGAACUCAUAGCACAUUUAGAGAAUUUUGUGUUUACGUUUUGUGGGUUCUUUGUUUUCGGGUUUUCGAGGUUUAGUUUUUAUCUCCAUCUUUCAUACUCUUCGUUCUUUUACCAUUAUAGUAAAAUUAUCUUUGCCCGUGGUUUUUUAUCCUCUUUGGAGGGGUUUUUCCACGUUAAAUUUGUGUGUUCAAUUUCUCAAUUUAUUCUGCUAUUUUCUUAUUCGUUACUUAAUCGGGUUUAAAUCUUAACAAGUGGUAUCAGAGCUAGUUUAAUUUUCAUAGAUUAGCCCGUUCAGAGAUGGCAACAACAAGGUUUGAAAUUGAGAAGUUUGAUGGUGAGACAAAUUUCAAUCUGUGGCAAGUUCGGAUGAUGGCAAUUCUAGUUCAAUCAGGCUUGAAAAAGGUUGUUAUCGAAAAAAGCCUGAGAAUCUAAAUAAAACAGAAUGGGAAGAGCUUGAUGAAAAGGCUUUAUCUGCAAUCUAGUUAUGCUUCACGAAUACGGUAUUGCAGGAGGUAUUGAUGGAAAAGACCUCAUCUGCCUUGUAGAAAAGGUUAGAAACUCUUUAUGCGACUAAGUCUCUGGCUAACCGUUUAGUGUUGAAACAACGUCUACUUACGUUUCGCAUGAACGGAUAUGAGCUUUUUAGAGAUCACAUCAGUCAAUUCAUUACUCUUUUAAAUGAUUUAAAGAAUGUUGAGGUUCAUAUUGACGAUGAAGAUCAGGUUAUGCUAUUAUUGUGCUCUUUACCCUCUUCAUACAAGUUUUUCAGGGAGACCCUGAUUUAUGACAAAGACAAACUAUCAUUCGAAGAUGUGAAGGGUCAUUUGUUGAAUAGAGACAAACUCGACAAUGAGCUUCAUUUUAAUAGCAAGACAGAUAGGCAAGCUUCCGUUUUGGUAGCAUCAAAGAAACGAGAUAAAAUGUGUCGCUAUUGUAAAAAGUUAGGUCACGUCAAAGCAGAUUGUUAUAAACUGCAAAAUAAAAAAGCUGUUGAGAGUAACGAGGAAGAUGUAGCUGAUGCUAAUUUGGCCGAUAAAAAUGGGGAUGAUUUCUUGUUAGUGUCAACAAAUGAUAACACCAAGCUCACGUCCGAGUGAAUCCUAGAUUCAGGAUGUUCUUUCCACAUGUGUCCCAAUAGAGAAUGGUUCUCCACAUACAGUUCGAUUGAAGGUGGAGUUGUGCGUAUGGGAAACGAUUCAUCCAGUAAGGUAAUUAGUAUUGGUACUGUUAAAAUUAAGAUGCAGAAUGGGACGAUUAGGACACUCUCAGAUGUCAGGUAUAUACCUGAUUUACGAAAGAAUCUCAUCUCCUUAAAUAUUUUAGACUUGAAAAGAUGCAAAAUCAACAUCAAGUUGAGCGAUAUUAAAGUAUCUCAUAGAGCUCUCGUUUUGUUAAAAGAUAAAAGAACCGGCAGUCUUUAUAUUCUGGAAGGUGAAAUCGAACGUCCCUUGUCCGUUACGAAGUUGAAGUCAACUUGUUUAGAGUGGAGGCAACUUGGUCAUAGGAGGGAAAAAUGUAUGACUGUUUCGUUGAAGAAAGGUUCUUUUUUGGAUGCAGAUUUUGAAAAGUUAAGGCUCUGUGUUCGUGAAAAUCAGACCCAAGUUAGUUUUGAUUUGACAGUAUACAAGUCGAAGGCUAGAAGUCUUCCAGUUUCUAAACACAAAUUCGACUCAGUUAAUUCCCUGCAUAGUUUAAGAUAAGCUCGUGGCGGGCUUUGGCAAAGAUGACGUUGUGAAAAUAUGAGUCAAGAUAAAAAUUUGUUAAAUAUGACUCUUAUUUUCAGUCAAAUUUAAAAAAUAGUCUUUCAAU
rnacentral:lncRNA from 1 species